AACAAUGAGUAGAAUAUACAGACAGGUGCUCAGUAUCUGUUUGAUUGAUAUACCUGGUCUGCAAUGAUUGAUCAUAUGACGCGGCAGGCCGGGAGGUCGAUCACCGGAGGAUCGAUCACCGAGGAGAGCUUGGGUCGUGAGCGUUUCGUAUUGAAUUAGUUGUGUUGAAUAUUAUUUUUCUCAAUAUUUGUCCGUGGAAGAAUAAUUUAUUACCGACAGUUUUGCUGUUAGUUAUUUAGUUUUAAUGAGUUUUCGGUUCACAGUAAUUAUGGCUCAUUCUUCGUUACUAACAAACUGGAGAGAUGAUGAUUAUAUACAGUUUUUUUUCGUUAUCUACUGAAAUGAACCAGCACCGACCUGUGUUGUAAUACCACUUUGUGACACUAGAGGCUGUGUGAGUCAGUGGCGCGUCAAGUCUGCCCUCAGUCCCACGAAGAAGAACUUCCGGCAGAGCUUGAAGUUAGCAUCACAGAAACGCAGGAAUGGCUGAACCUCUUAAAAAGGUAAUAUUCAUCUGUAUCCCGCAGGACCGCUCCCGACAAGAAACCACGUUUAACAGCAAAGAAAAGAGGCAACACGAGUAAAUCUUGGUGCGGCUUCCCGCCGCUGGAGAAGCUCCUGAGAGUAAAGAGGUGCGGUUUGAUGCCGAGCUCGCAACUUUCCUGUUAGCCUGUUACUCCGGAGAUUUCAGCAUACCUGUCUUCAUCAGGACCUGAGCCAGUAGAGAUGCAAUACCGCCUCCACCUGUCUCACUAUCGGCAGAGAGUCUAGACACAGUGAGGAGGAUCUAGGACCAGAAGUCCAGUUUAAUUUUCACCAAUGAUGGACCAGCACCUGCCUUUUCUUCUGCAUCCGGCCUCAGCAAUCAACCACAUUACAUCAACACCUUGAGGUAUGGCAGAAUCCACCUCGGGCCAGAACCACGCCUUGCCCAGCAAGAAAUGGUAAGUCAUGCACAUUACUCCACCCCAUACAUUUAGGCUCAAAUCACUCAAUUAAUUUCUAUUAAAAGUUUGUAUUUUGUGUAAUUGCAUUUCCACACAGAUCAUAGUUAAAUGUUUAAGAUAAGUUAAAAUGUUUAAUACAUUUAAGUUGUUGUCAUAUCAAAUGCAUCAGAAAACAAUGUGGAUGUGAUUAUUAAUAUUUGGCUUGAAUAUUAAAAUACUUGUUUGGAAACUUGCUGUGUCUGAUUUGUUAAGGAAACAAAACUCUUGUUACUGUAACUAUGUGUACCUAGGCUCAAAUUAGGGUCAAAAUGAUUCUGAGCUUGUAAAGUCAUGUUCACAAAUAAUUCCAAUGUUUGUAGUUGUAAAUCAACCUUUGUAAACCUGUAAGAUAAAUCUGCUUGAGAAAUUCAAGUUUGAGUAUGUGAAACAAUUGCGCUUGUGUCAAA